AGAUAAUAGAGAAAAUUAAAUAAAUCAUGAAAUGUUUAGAUUUUUGUGUCAUGCUUCACAAAUUCGUUACAACUUCAAUCUUUGACGGUAGAUACAGAUUUUCAACUACCCAAAUAGAAUAACCAUGUUAGAUAUAGAUACAGAAAUUUGUUCAAACCCAUUUUCGACUGGCCAAACUAUUGUACGAUCUACGACCACGGCCAUAUCAACUAUAGUGGCCCUAUCAGAUAUCUACAUCAUGAUAGUACUU
rnacentral:lncRNA from 1 species